rnacentral:rRNA from 1 species
AGUGAACGCUGGCGGUAGGCCUAACACAUGCAAGUCGAACGGCAGCACAGGAGAGCUUGCUCUCUGGGUGGCGAGUGGCGGACGGGUGAGGAAUACAUCGGAAUCUACUUUUUCGUGGGGGAUAACGUAGGGAAACUUACGCUAAUACCGCAUACGACCUACGGGUGAAAGCAGGGGAUCUUCGGACCUUGCGCGAUUGAAUGAGCCGAUGUCGGAUUAGCUAGUUGGCGGGGUAAAGGCCCACCAAGGCGACGAUCCGUAGCUGGUCUGAGAGGAUGAUCAGCCACACUGGAACUGAGACACGGUCCAGACUCCUACGGGAGGCAGCAGUGGGGAAUAUUGGGCAAUGGGCGCAAGCCUGAUCCAGCCAUACCGCGUGGAUGAAGAAGGCCUUCGGGUUGUAAAGCCCUUUUGUUGGGAAAGAAAUCCAGCUGGUUAAUACCCGGUUGGGAUGACGGUACCCAAAGAAUAAGCACCGGCUAACUUCGUGCCAGCAGCCGCCGCAG